rnacentral:rRNA from 1 species
UACAGAGGGCGCAAGCGUUAAUCGGAAUUACUGGGCGUAAAGCGCGCGUAGGUGGUUUGUUAAGUUGGAUGUGAAAUCCCCGGGCUCAACCUGGGAACUGCAUUCAAAACUGACAAGCUAGAGUAUGGUAGAGGGUGGUGGAAUUUCCUGUGUAGCGGUGAAAUGCGUAGAUAUCUGGAGGAACAUCAGUGGCGAAGGCGGCCCCUGGAUCAAUACUGACGCUGAGGUGCGAAAGACGUGGGGAGGCAAAC